AGCCCAUCAGACUCACACAGAACAGCAGGAAGGCCAAAGACUCAAGAUUUAUCUAUCCUUGAAGGCAGGACCGUAUGAACCUGAAUCCACAGAAAUGGCUCAUCAGUCUCCAAUCCUCUGAUUUUCUAAACCAGGACUACAUUAUAUUAAAACCAGAAAAAGCAAUACCUCUUUUCACAGAAUGGACUUUCUGGUGGAAAUGGGAGGAACCAAAAGAAGGCUGACUUCUUCAUUUUGACACCCUGCCCUGACUGCAGAACGUGAUUUCCCUAAAAGACUGAAUGUUAACCUCAAAGCCUGAUCAACCAACAUGCAGGAGAAAUCUUGACCAAGGCUCUGAGCAUGCUGUGGUCCCAAUGGUGAGGGUGUGAUAUGCACUGUCUGUUCCUGGAGUCACAGUGCUCAUCUUGUGGUAAAGACCUCUUGGAAGAAUGUCUUCAAAGGCACAUCUCCAGCUGGGAGUCCUUGUUUCCUGAUUUUUUUUUUUAAGUUUAUGUUAUAUGAACAAAUGAGACUGCUUUCCCGGCAGGAGUAGCCCUCGGACGCCCACUGUGAGCCUACUUUCUGGAAGAAGCCAACUCAGACAGACCACAGUGUGUGCACAGCAUAUGUGGCUGCUGGCUGUGGAUGAGAAAGUAUUCCUGAUCUGUCAGAAUAAUGAUUUCAGCGUGUUCUCAGCAGGUCCUCAGUGUGAUCCCAUGAGGAUACCCUCAACCCCUUGCAUGACAUGUUGUACUUGGAGUCCUUCCCCAUUUCAAUUUCAGCAUCAGUGGGAGGGAAAUAGCAAAACAGCAUUCCUUCACGUAGAUAACCAGUAGGCAGCAGGCUACUCCUGGUUUGUAACAUAACUCCACCAGUGUAUUCUGGCAGCCGGGCUUACUUAAGGGAGAGCACAGACAUUCCCUGCUCAAAAACAAAACUGCUAAACGUGACUCCGGUAGCCUCCGUGCUCUCUACAAGAAUAAAAUCCUUGAGGAAAAAUGAAAUACCUGUAGGAUACAUACUACAUGGCAGGCAUGCUUCUCAGA
rnacentral:lncRNA from 1 species